rnacentral:rRNA from 1 species
GGUUAAGCGACCAAGCGUAUACGGUGGAUGCCUUGGCAGUCAGAGGCGAUGAAGGACGUAGUAACUUGCGAAAAGCGUUGGUGAGCUAGUAACAAGCAUUUGAGCCAGCGAUGUCCGAAUGGGGAAACCCGGCAGCAUAAGCUGUCAUCAAUACGUGAAUACAUAGCGUAUUGAGGCGAACGAGGGGAACUGAAACAUCUAAGUACCCUUAGGAAAAGAAAUCAACCGAGAUUCCCCAAGUAGCGGCGAGCGAACGGGGAUUAGCCCUUAAGUCUUUGGGGUGUUAGUGGAAUGUGUUGGAAAGCACAGCGGCACAGGGUGAUAGCCCCGUACAUGUAAACUAACCAGAGAUGAAAUCGAGUAAGGCGGCACACGUGAUAUGUUGUCUGAAUAUGGGGGGACCAUCCUCCAAGGCUAAAUACUCCUGACUGACCGAUAGUGAACCAGUACCGUGAGGGAAAGGCGAAAAGAACCCCUGUGAGGGGAGUGAAAUAGAACCUGAAACCGUAUACGUACAAGCAGUGGAAGCGGUUCUUGAGACCGUGACUGCGUACCUUUUGUAUAAUGGGUCAGCGACUUACAUUUAGUAGCGAGGUUAAGCGAAUAGCGGAGCCGUAGGGAAACCGAGUGUUAACUGCGCGUUUAGUUGCUAGGUGUAGACCCGAAACC